rnacentral:lncRNA from 10 species
AGAGCUGCUUGCUUAAAAGACUCUGGCCUCCCUCUUGCUCCCUCUCUGGCCAUGUGACAUGCCUGCUCCCCCUCCACCUUCCACCAUGAGUGGAAGCUUCUCAAGGCCUCACCAGAAGAAGAUGUUGGUGCCAUGCUUGUAUAGCCUGCAGAACUAGAUAGGAUUUCACCAUGUUGCCCAGGCUGGUCUCGAACUCCUGGGCUCAAGCGAUCUGCCCACCUAGGCCUCCCAAAGUACUGGGAUUACAGGCGUGAACCACUGCCCGGCUGAGAAGGAGGUUCUUCCGCGAGAGAAGGCUAUGCAGAGGGGAGGAUCUCAGGCCUGAAGGGUCUAGAAGCCCACUGGAAGGUCUUCCAGACACUUGGGACAUCUAGCUCCUGAAGAGUAGAAAGAGGAGCUGCUGCCGAAGAGGUAAGACAGAGAGAGGGGCACAGGAUGUGGAGUCCGCCCCUCUGUCCUCAGGGAGUUUCUUUGGAGAGAGAAGAGAAUGAGGCUGGGCUCAGAGGAAGUUCCUCCCACUCCGUGGAGCUCAAACUAGUCCAGUGGUGGCAGCUGCCCUGGCUGGAAUAAAGCAUCGACCCACAGUGGCCUCACAUCUCUGAGGCCUUUGCAGGUUAAGAGUCUCCUGCCAUGAUACCCCACCACAGUGGAACCCGUUGUUGGGCCAGCGUGUUCUCAGGGACUGGGACACGGGCCAAAUACUACAGCCACCAAGGCCAUAGCCUGUGCUCUCUCUGAGCCGAGGGAAGAACACCCUCUCCGGCCCUGUAGUUCCAUUUUUGUUUCUUUGUUUCGUUUCCUCUGCUGUCUUCUCCAGAGCUCUGCGCUGCAGCUGAGAGACUGGGUAUCUCCUAGAGAUUCCUGACCCCCACGCACCAGCCCCACCACCAGAGGGCGCCCGAGCACAGAGACGCCGCAACCGGAGCAGGAGCCCUAAACCUGUCAGGGUGGGUCAGCCCUGGAGUAAUCCUGGAGGGAGGGUCUGGGAGAGGGCCCCAGUGUGGGGACCUGCCCGGCUCAACCAAAUGUAGUUUGUUACCUUGGUGGCCAUCUGCAGCCAGGUGGCCCUGCCACACUGCUAAACCAGAGGAUUUAGGAAGCAGACAGGGAUUCGGGAAGUGGCUGAAGAGCACUGGAAAGACAAACUCCUGCGGUGCAAGAGUCCUGGACCAGGAGUGCGGAGAACUGGGGGCGCUCCUCUCCCUGUUACCCUAGGCUUGUUUUCUCAUAUGUAAACAAAGGCAGGGGCGGGGAGAAGGGAAGGACUCGAUGGUACCCAGGUGCCCUUCAGGCUCUAACCAAAGACAUGCCCCACCCUCCUGGAGGAACCCUGCGGAGCGCAGAGAACGGCUGGAGACAUAGCGGCCGCGGUUUUCCCCGCAGCGCAGGAGCGCCAGGCACUGCGCUGGGUCAACUGCGGUCAGGGAGUCACCUGCCCGCGACAGCGAGCGCGCACCCACACUCUCGACCAACCCAGGCUGGCCUCCAGCCCACUCUCGGGUCCCAACGCCCAAACAUCUCGCAUUGCUGGCUCCGACAUCUCCCCACCCGCCGCCAGGAAUCAGCGCAGAGGGAGAUGCGUCUUCUGUGGCGGGUGCGGGGCGAGGACCCUGACCCCAGCUCUGGGAAGUGAACUGUACGGAGGAGAGAGCUCUCCAUCGUCAGCUCUGCCUCCGCCCCUCCUGCGGCUUCACUUCAGCCCGGAUGCCGGCGAUGGGGAAUAGACCAGGGACGCAGGAGCACACUGGACCGGGGGUGGAUCCACUUGGGGAGGCAGGCAACCGACCCGCGCACCGGUGGCGCAACCUCGUUCCGGUGACCGAAGCUUGUGGAGGUAGCUCCACUCCCGGCUCCCUGGUCCGACAUCCCCCUGCCACCUCCUCCCCCACCUCCCCGAGUCUUGGGAGCCUGGACCCCGAAGGUGCAAAAAGUCAAGAGCCUGGAAAACUGCACUGUGCAAAUAUAUUGACUUUAUUUGUCUCCUUUCAGGAGCCUCACAGACAUAUCCAGGUAAAAAGAUCGUUAAAUAAAUGCCUUCAGCCAUC